UAGAGUUUGAUCCUGGCUCAGAUUGAACGCUGGCGGCAUGCUUUACACAUGCAAGUCGAACGGCAGCGCGGGGCAACCUGGCGGCGAGUGGCGAACGGGUGAGUAAUAUAUCGGAACGUACCCAAGAGUGGGGGAUAACGUAGCGAAAGUUACGCUAAUACCGCAUACGAUCUAAGGAUGAAAGCAGGGGACCGCAAGGCCUUGUGCUCCUGGAGCGGCCGAUAUCUGAUUAGCUAGUUGGUAGGGUAAAGGCCUACCAAGGCUUCGAUCAGUAGCUGGUCUGAGAGGACGACCAGCCACACUGGAACUGAGACACGGUCCAGACUCCUACGGGAGGCAGCAGUGGGGAAUUUUGGACAAUGGGCGCAAGCCUGAUCCAGCAAUGCCGCGUGAGUGAAGAAGGCCUUCAGGUUGUAAAGCUCUUUUGUCAGGGAAGAAACGGUGGGGGCUAAUAUCCUCCACUAAUGACGGUACCUGAAGAAUAAGCACCGGCUAACUACGUGCCAGCAGCCGCGGUAAUACGUAGGGUGCAAGCGUUAAUCGGAAUUACUGGGCGUAAAGCGUGCGCAGGCGGUUUUGUAAGUCUGAUGUGAAAUCCCCGGGCUCAACCUGGGAAUUGCAUUGGAGACUGCAAGGCUAGAAUCUGGCAGAGGGGGGUAGAAUUCCACGUGUAGCAGUGAGAUGCGUAGAGAUGUGGAGGAACACCGAUGGCGAAGGCAGCCCCCUGGGUCAAGAUUGACGCUCAUGCACGAAAGCGUGGGGAGCAAACAGGAUUAGAUACCCUGGUAGUCCACGCCCUAAACGAUGUCUACUAGUUGUCGGGUUUUAAUUAACUUGGUAACGCAGCUAACGCGUGAAGUAGACCGCCUGGGGAGUACGGUCGCAAGAUUAAAACUCAAAGGAAUUGACGGGGACCCGCACAAGCGGUGGAUGAUGUGGAUUAAUUCGAUGCAACGCGAAAAACCUUACCUA
rnacentral:rRNA from 1 species